rnacentral:rRNA from 1 species
UACGUAGGGUGCGAGCGUUGUCCGGAAUUACUGGGCGUAAAGAGCUCGUAGGUGGUUUGUCGCGUUGUCCGUGAAAACUCACAGCUCAACUGUGGGCGUGCGGGCGAUACGGGCAGACUGGAGUACUGCAGGGGAGACUGGAAUUCCUGGUGUAGCGGUGAAAUGCGUAGAUAUCGAGAGGAACACCUGCGGCGAAAGGCGGGGUUGCUGGGGCUGACACUGACG